GGCGGCGAUCCGACCGAUCGGAUCCUUGCGAGCGAGCCGGCGAUCAGGGAUUGGUUUCGAGGCGGUGCAAACGCGGAAGCGGCCGAACACAUGCGCGGACUGCUCGCCGAGACGAUCCCCGAUCUGAGACCCGUUUCGACGCAUUAUUCGCCCUGCGUCACCGCGUUCACGCGACACGGCUAUCCUUAUAUAGGUUUCGUGAGCGACCGCAUCGCCGUGCUCACCGGCGGCAACGGCCAGGCUGCCAAGAGCUCCGACGAGAUCGGCAGGCUCGGCGCGGUGCUGGUGGCGGACGGCCGGCUCGAGGCGGACGAGUACGAGACGGAUUUCGCGGUCGCGUAUCGUUAAGUAACCGCCGGACGGGGCGGCAGCGCCGAUUUCUCUGGCGCUCGCUGCGCCGGUCG
rnacentral:sRNA from 1 species